rnacentral:rRNA from 2 species
UAACGACUCUCGGCAACGGAUAUCUCGGCUCUCGCAUCGAUGAAGAACGUAGCGAACUGCGAUACUUGGUGUGAAUUGCAGAAUCCCGUGAACCAUCGAGUCUUUGAACGCAAGUUGCGCCCGAAUCCUUUGGUGAGGGCACGUUUGCCUGGGUGUCA